rnacentral:lncRNA from 1 species
AGAACGGUGACGAUCCCGGCGAUGGAAGAAAGGCGAAACUGCUCCGCGUGGGCUGCCCGGAGUGGCAUCGCGCCUUGUUCGAGUCCGAAGAAGUUCCCGCUUCUCUAAACCGGCUGAAGAGAUGCGAGUCUCCUCCUCUUGUCCCAACGGGACUGCGUCCUGACACCGAGUGGACUCCGCCCCGAGAGUGCGAGCGUCCUGAGCGAUCAGGGCAUCCUGAGCCGCGGAAGGCAUCCGGCCACACCCCGCUCUUUACCCGCCAACGCCAGCCCAGGUGGUCAGGCUCAGAAUGGACUGUGAGCCCGUGUGUUAUGGAUCUCUGGUUGUAGAGACAAAAGAACAAAGAUGGAAGCCACCAAGGAUGCUCCCGGCUGAAUGAAUUGUUGCUCUCUGGCUUACACAAAGUCAAGCGAAUGAUCUUCCUAUGUUAUGUAAUAUAUCAACGACCUGCUUACCUUACUCCUUUAAUCUACGUUAUUCUGGAAAGUACCACUUGAAACAAAAGAGUAGAUACAUUCUACUGGAAAUAUGACCCUCAGAGAAGGAAAGAAAGACCGAGGGUUGAACCUGAACACAUGAAAGAGAAUCCAAGAGAACCUGCUUGGUACUGCCACAUCAGAGAAGCCUCCGGUAAGGAGACUGGAUGCUUGGAAUCAUGGAUACUCAAAGCACUGUUAACAAAGAGCAGAGUCCAGUCUUCCAGAGUCAUGACCUGAAUCCAAAGUUGAAAAGAUCUGAGCAGUGUAUAAACAGCCUGUCAUAACCUGCAUAAUACAUUUUUAGUCCUGAAUAAAUCUAUUCACACUUCUUUCU